AGUGAGAAUGCUGGGUCAAAUGGUGAUUCCAUGCCAAGUUUUCUGAGUAAUCUCUAUACUGCUUUCCAGAUUGGCUGCACCAAUUUGCUGUCCCACAUGCAAU
rnacentral:pre_miRNA from 1 species